rnacentral:misc_RNA from 1 species
GCGGCGCUCAUGACCUUUGGCGCUUACGGCAUGGUGCGGGGCCGGUACGGACGCGCUUUCGUAGCCGUGCGCGACGACGACGUCGCAGCCGGCAUUAUGGGCAUUGAUGUCGUGGCCAUCAAGGCGACCGCGUUCUUGGUCGGCGCAUUCUAUGCCGGCGUCGGCGGCGGAUUGUGGGCUUAUUUCGUUCGCUUUGUCGCGGUCGAUCAGUUCACGCUGUUCAAUUCGAUAUGGUUUAUUGCCAUGAUAAUCGUCGGCGGAAUGGGGUCGAUCACGGGCGCUCUCGUCGGCGUCGUCGUCAUCAAAUGCAUUCAGGAGGCCUUCGUGUCGCUCGGGCCAUCCG